rnacentral:lncRNA from 1 species
CCAAACCUUACGAAAUCUGUGCUUUAACUGCAGAAGCCAUGAAUUACUUGCUAUAUUUAAAGAUGGAGGGUCUGUAUCUGAUUGCAUUCCUUUUCCCAGGUAAGUCUUCCUUAAUGCAAUUGUUGUUCUUUAUAAACGAUCUAUUAACAUAAAAAAUUAUGGGGAAAAGAAAAUGUUGUGCCAGAUAGUUAACUGAGAGGUGGAAUAGAGAGAUUUACUAUACUGCAUUUAUUGACAUUGAUACUAUAUGGUGUUACUAUAAGAGUGUUGUCAAAUAACAGAUUUUAUUUUAAUUCUGCGCAAGGUUAUCAGAAUUGACAUUUCUUUCAACUAUAUUAAAUUAGCCCACGUUGUAUCUGUGUGAUUGCAAGGCAGUGACAGUUUUGCAUUUGGGAAUAUUUUAAUGUGUUGUCAAGUGAUUAUUCCCCCUGGAUUACUGAAUUAAAGUUGCCAUAAUACAUUCUAAUUAACUCACGUCUUAUCCUGAUUUGAUAUCAUUCUUAGAUUCAAACUUGCAAAUAACUGGAAGCCUUUAAGAAGCAGUGGAAGUAGUGCGACAUUAAUUUAUUUUAUGUUCCUUGUAUUUGUUCCUGUAGUUUUUAAAUCUGCAUCAUAAUGCAAUAUGAAAUACUCCCCUAAAUGAGAUUUUAUUAUUUUCGUAAAUAGUGACAUUUUAAACAGCACAGCCCACAUUUUAUACUGUUAUUAACCCUCAGUAAUAAUAAUUCAUGUGAGAUAGAGAUUUGUGAUUUUACUUCUUAAAGAAAAAUAAAUUCUUGAUUUUCUUCAUGGGCUAUUCACAUCAUAAGUGCAUCUUUCUGAUGGGUUGUAUCCCCUUGGAUCUUGAAUCACUAUGGGGUGUAUUCACUAAACAGCAGAUUGUAGUGAAUUAGAGACGCAAAAUGUCGGCCAAAAUAGUUGAUUUUGAAAAUAAAAAUGCCAGUUAGUAACUGCGCUAGGCUAUAGCCUGAAUUUUGCAGUUCAGUUUUUAUUUCAUCAUAAUUUGUUAUUUAGUGAUUAUAUAAUGGGUUUAUUUUCAGACCUAUAGGUCUGUUCACUAAGCAAUGGUUUGAGAACAGCUAAUUAUUGACUUGCAAAAUUUAGCUUAUCUAUUUAAAAUAACUGACGUAGAUAAAAAGUCAUCAAAUUAGCAGAAUCUGAGAAACGUUCCAAUUUUAAUAAAUAGACCGCUCUAAUCUCUCUUUUUCUUUACGUGAUGAAUAGUUUAGAUAUUGCAAUUCUUUUCAACCAAAAAUAUCACAAUUAUGUGUUGAUUUAUUAUUUCUGUUUUUAAUCUUAUCGGUAACUACAGCUGAUAACGUUAAUACUUUCUUUAAUGCAUCAUAUUGCUUCAAACAUUAGUGUAUGCUAGGGAGCAGGAACCGUUCUAAUUGCUUAUUUUGAAAGAAUAAAUGGUGUAAAUGAUUAUAAUGAAGAUGUUAAAAUAUAAUAGUAAGUCCAAAGUAAGAAAAAAAUAAUAUACAUGCCCUAACCAUAGGUUGAAAAAUUAGAUUGGUGAGGGCAGGGAAUAGCCUAAAAAUAGAAAAAAGUAAUCUUUAUUAAAUAGGACACAUAAAAUUACAAAACACAAACACACUCCAAACAAGUAACAUAAAUCUGCUCUUAUAGACUGCUUGAUAAAGACCUUAUUUGAGGUCAGUACACUGCUGCUGUUACAUCAUUCACUGAUCUUCAAUUUUGAGUGCUUGGAUUCUCUUUGAUUUCUUACCUAAAGACUGCGCCAUCAUAAACUUGCGCGUGAAUACGUUUAUGAUGACCUAAAUCGCCAAGAGCUAAAUAGCCCACACUUAUCAAAGAAUUAAAAAAAACUGAUAGAAUGCAAAAAGUUAACCACAAAUGUCCAUAAGAGCAGAAGUAACAAAUAGUUACUAGUAAAGGUAAUUGGCUGAUAAAAAAAAGAGAGGAUAAAUUGCUAGCUACUAUUGGGGUAUGUAUAAAUAAAUAUAAAUGGUCCUUAAGAAUUCCUUGGCUCAUCUAUGCAUAGUAAAAGAGAAAGGGACCUUAAUCUAUUGAUAAAAAGAACAAUACCCGAGACUACCUCAGCACACUGUAAGGGAUGCAUGUAUCUACAUAACUAGUAGAGGUAUACCUCUCAAGUAGGAGCAGACAGUGAACUGAAAAAUAACAAGUGUUAAGUGCUACCCAUAAUGUGAAAAUACUGAAUAAAAUAAGUGAUCACAACAUAAGAGAAACCCAAAGAACAUUUUUAGACAGACCUUCGUCAGAGGCAGAAUAUAAUAGUCCUGUGUACUAUAAAAAAUAAAUGUGUGUUGCUUUUAUUGACGGAAAUGUUUUAUGUCAUGUAAGUUUGACUUCCUGUAUAGCUCUUCUCAAUGUUGUUCUCUAAGCUGUUAAUAAGUAUUUUUUUUAUCGAUGUGGUAGGCCACAAUGUAUAAUCCUGGAAUCUUCUCUUUGAUAAAACCGUCAAUGUGCAUUAAACAGGGUUCAUUGUUUUCAUAUUGAAGACCACAAUGUAAUCUGACUGUAAACUAUUCUCAUUAAUAGCUGUGAUGCCAGGAGCCUUUGCUACUGAUCUUUCCAAUAUGAAGAAUUCGAGCCUGCAUCAGUUAACCAAACACCUUCUGAUCAACUAUCACAAAGGUGUGAGGCCUGUGAGAAACUGGAGUCAAGCCACCACCGUUUCUAUUGACCUCUUUCUCCACGCUGUCUUAGAUGUUG